GUUCCCUACAGUAGACUGCACAGGAAAGCAUCCAGGUGGGUUGUCAUUUGAAUAUCACCAGAGAAGGAGACUGCAGCCUCCUCCACACUACCCCCUUCGUAGGUGGCCUUUUCUUCACAGUUUGCAUUGGAGCUUAUCAACAAGUGUCGUAUAGACAAGGGAUAAAUGUACACAAGUUAUUUGCAGAAUUCAGAGAUGAGUUAAUCUUUUGAGACUUGUAUGUUUGAGAGCCUGGGGAAAAAGAAAUGUAGCUGAAAUUUCUAGAGAUUUUGUAGAACCUCCAGUCUAGUGGUCCCUGGACUGCUACAGAGGAUACGGAGCUGGUGGCACAGAUGCCAGCUAACAAGAAAAGGUAGAUCCUAAAGCUGUGGGCUUUAGCUGUUAGCACAUAAAUGCUUACUUGAAGCAGAUGGGAACUGUGUUACACCUUCCUUGUCAGGAAGAAAUGUGUCCAUUGUUUUUUAGAUUGUAUUAGAAUGGAUGCAGUCGUUAUCCAUCAGUGAAGUCCAUGGAAUUACGUAAAUCUGUUGGAGUAUCAGAAACCAACAUUCUGAGAAAUACCUGAAAUUUUAAGCACCAAUCUCCUGGUAUAUGGCCAGGAGAGUACAAAAUCUCAAAGCAAAACUGACAAAAUGAUGUAACGGAGAGAAAACUUGAGUUUUAAGGAUUCAGACAACUUUACAGAAAAGAUAGAAUGAACACUGAAAGCACGUGUAUUUACAGAGAAAAUACAUAUUUAUAUUUUCUUCACAAAUAUGGAUACUGAAAUUAUCCUGAAAUAAUGAAAAUAAAUAAUUCCCAAAAUAACCUCGCUAGUAUGCAAUCUCAGCAGCAUAUCUCCUGCCAUAUUCUGUGAUUAAACACUAGAGCAAAAUAUCAUGGUGAUUUGCUCUUCUGCUUGUUGCUGCUUCACCAUCUAAGGCAAUUUCAAUGAAGCUCUUGGGAUGGCUUCUUACGUGAGAAAGUAUAUUAGGCCACAGUUUGGCAAAUGUGUUUUAUAGCAGAUGUGUGUACUUCAUCUGAUUCUCCUCAUCUUUUGCUGCUCAUUCUUGAAUCAUGCUGCUCUCUCUGUUACACUGUUAUGUAUCUGAGCAGUGAACCAGAUGAGAAAAGUGAUCUGGGUUAAAAAUAACCCAGCUACACCCCCAGAUCUAGAUCGGUGCAUAUACUGUGUGACUGGCCAGUUGCAUUUGGUGUGUCAGAAGCCUGGUUUAGGCCAGUUCCCCAGCUCACGGGGCUGUAUCAGUAACUGACAAGAAUUUGAAAAGCUAAAGGCUAAUAUCUAUCCGUCUAAUUCCUUAAAAUGGAAAUGCUGGAGAAAUCCAUUUCCCCAGCACUGAGUGAGCUGGAGUUCAGAUAUCUUAGCCCAAAUGUUCUUCUGUCUGUGCCCUGAGGUGCCCAGCUUAAAAAAAGUUAUAUGGGAGUAAGCCUGAUUUACUGAUGCCAUAAAUGUCAGCAUACAGUAUCAUGUGAGCAAGGUAACCUAAGUUUGUAUUUCAGAUCAUAUGUGCUCCUUCAAGCUUCAGUAUUCCAAAUGUAAUUACGAACACUGGAUAUUUCUGGAGAGGUUUGUUGAGGCAGAGUGGGAAGAAUGCGAGCAUAACCAGAACAGGCCAUAUCACCUCUGCCAUGUACAUCAGCAGUUAGAUUUAGACAAAUGUAAGUACACAGAAGUAUGCAUGAUUUCCUGAUGUAAAGCAGAACAAAUACUCAUAAACAAAAGUGUCAAUAUCUGGAGUCACUGUACAUGUACUUGGCAGAGGUAAGAUAACAGCAAAUACCAAAUACCACUGUAAAACUGCCUGGGUGAAGGUAAGCAACUACUGCACAACAGAAUGAAGUUGCUCAGACACUGCACAGCAGAAAUGAGGUUACCAUUUGGCAAAACUUCUGGCAUUCUGCUUUUGGGCUUUUCACCCUGGAUGCUGAGGGAGAUCUCUGGCAUCCUUUUGGAAGGCAUAUUUGAGAAUUCUGUUUGUAACCCAACUGGAUGGUAUAAAAAUACAGAUUUCAAUGGAAAAUAUGUUUAUUAUAUAAUUUUAGAAACUCUUCUUUCCCUGGGCUCUCAGGUUCUGCAGGCUGUAACAAUUAGACUUGUAACAGAUCCCCCAUUUUAUCUCUCCUCUUCAGCAAUAUCCCUUCUAAUCUGCAGGUACCAGUUGUCUUUCUCUGAGAUGAUCUGAUACUUAUUAAAGUCUGCAGUUUUCCUCAUCUUGAAUUUAAUUUUAAAAUUUGUUUUCAGUUCUGAAGACCUUGAUCCCAGAAAGCCAAUCUACUUUUUCUAGCUGUAAUAGUUUGUCUACAAAAUGUAAUUUCUCAGCUUUGUAAACCUUGUCUUCACAAAGCCCUAUGAUAAUCAGGGCUAUACUAUGACUAUAAUAAUCUAUUAACAUGAACUCAAAAUAAUGACGCAGAUUUUUAAAGACAGAGUUGAGUGAAGUGCAUUAAGGCACUAAUGCUGAAGUCUGUAAAAAGAAAAUAAUUUUUAAAUAAGAAAAUGCAUAAAUAAGAGCUUAUCAGAAAUCAUAUGCUAGAGGCAGUACUUGUGACAAGGUGCUGGGAUGUUAACUAAUUACCGACCUUUCUCAGCCACUUGUGUCUCUCCAGAAGAUAUUGUUUAGCACAGCAUUAGUCACUAGUAUUUCUUCUCUUUCCUCCAUCAGGCUUUUAUAACCCUAGGAUGAUUUAUUUGGAGUACUUUUUGAUAAUUGAAAGCUGUUCCACAGAGUAGCUGUUGUGGAACAUUUUGAAGCUUGAGCCACAGGAAAUCAGCAGAUAAGACUUCACACAGCCAUCACUUGAUCAGCCAGGGAUCCCACACGUUUUUUGGCUGUGUUCUGAGAACUAAGAAACCUCCGAUAGGAGAUUUCUGCGCACAUGCGAGUAACUUUCGUUAGAAAAUGUGAUGUUUUCAUUUUUUCAGAUGGCUCCUUUUCUGAGUUCAAAGAGGACUCAAGCGCUGAGAAGCCGUUCAGUCUACAAGAGCCCAGUACUGAGUUGGUGAAGUAAAAGACAAGUUCUCCAGAAUAACGUGUAGUGGCUGUGGCAUCCUGACUACCAUAAGCAAAUAAUGGAUCAUCAUAAUCAGAAGCAGAUGUUGCAGGUUCCAUGACUUCACUGACAAGGCUGGGUGCAGUGGGAAAAGAAGAGAAUUCAAAAGAACUUUGAUAGCUGCAAAGAAGCUUUAAGAUGAUGAUCUGUUUCUUCUGCUGAGCAAGAAAAAAAAACCUAAAUGCAUAAUUUUUGGUGAUUUAACUAAAGGAGAUAUUAGUUUUGCUGUCAGGAAGCAUCAAUUCUAUAUUAUAGAUACUCAGAAAAGAAUUAAUGCAAUAUUUAUCAUCACUAGAUCAAAAUCACUUGGUUAUAGCUUAGAUUCCAUUUGUAUCAGCCUUCGAAUACAUGUCAGUAAGUGAGACUGUCCUGUUACAGGGACUGCCUUAAUAGUUGUAACUUUCCAAUGAUGUCCGUUCAAGAAUAUUCAAAUAGCUGAAUAUCUUGAAGAGAGUGUAGGUUUCCUAUGGUGUUUUUUCCCCCCUCUUUCUCUCGGUUGUAUUUGUGACAAAAAUAGGCAUGAUAAAUGAUUAGCAACAGCUGGACAGUUAGUACUAUAGAGUCUGUGGGUCUGCUGAGCCUGAAAGCCUUUGGCUCCACAGGAAAUAUGAGCACUAUGGAAGCAGCUCCAAAAUUAUGGAGGUUUGGUUGCACAUCUUUCACCAAAUGUAGGGUAUUCUUUCAAGCAGUGACAAUGGCUGUGUUUCAAAUAGGAAGCAAACUCAAGACCACCUUCUUCCUAAAACAAAAUAAAUCAGUUGUUGUAAGAGGAUUGUUGAAGAGAAACAUCUGGAGGAAAUGCCAUUCUGGUUUCAGACUUGCCUUUGGAAUACCCUAACAUACAUCUUCCAGGAUAUGAUACUGUGCUUCAUCAGACAACAUCACAAUGAGAUCAUACAUCUGAAUAUGGAGUGCAGGCUAGCCUUAUGAAGCAUGGUGAUUGCUAUGUCUGAUUUUAUUUCUUCAGUGAGUAAAUUAGGAAUAUUUCUCCUCCAAUCAUGAGAAAUUGGAUCAUUACUUUGAAGCUAGAAGGGAAUCCUAGAUAUGUACAAAAAUGAUUAUUUCAUAAACUCUGAAUUUAUGUGAGGGUAGAUGAUGUCUGUAACCAGAAGCAGCUCUGAGAUAUCAACAGAGUAUCAAAGACAAACUACAAGUAAAUCCAGGUCAGAAUUAAGGUGAGAAAAAUUUGUGGUACAAAACAGUGAAAAUGCCAUGAUUUUGUGGAGCCACCUGUAAUCUCAGACUGUGGACUGUUUCAGAGGAGAGCAAAUAACAAGGUUGAUCUAGCUUUAUAUGUACUUGUUAAUAUUUUCUAGUGCUCCUUCCAUGUAUACUCUUAGAAUGAAAACAAAAUACAUCCGUUCCUUAUAAUAGAUCUUCAUGGAUUUAUUAGCCUUUUUAAAAAUUUGGGAGAAUAAAAACUUUUUGGCAAAUUCUCAGAUCUCUCAUUGUUAAAAUGUUGAAUUAAAAUGCCAUUGAUACUGACAUAAUCUUCAUAAUUAGUUACUUGCUACCUGUGUAUUGAUGAUUUCAUAGCAAUCAGGUCUGAUAUAAGUUAAGACAUUUGUAUUUUAAAUAAUUUCUUUUGGUUUUGGUACAUGUAGAGCUUGUAGUAACAUGACCAUCUGAAUAUUAUCAUCAUAUAGUUUGCAAGGAGGUUUUUUAAAGUUAUAGCUACAUAAACAAGGAAGAUGAAGGAAUAUUCAGACUAGGCAGAACACAGAAUAUGUAGAGAAUUUACUUAAAGGUAAGUGUAUCUGUCCUUUUUUCUGGAUUUUGCCGAAAUACGUUACAUCUAUUCACCUGCCUUCUUCUACACAGUGAUAUAUGCAAUAGGCAUCAUAAGCAAUUAGUUGCUAAUUGUUGCUAUAAAAUCUGCAGUGAAAUGAAAUAAUGAAAUGAUCUGUUGCUGUCCUGCUUAGAGAUGUUUCUGUGAGUUGUUUUAGAGUACUGUGUGUAAUAGAUUUGGCAUUUUCUUUUUUUAGGUCUUCGAUUUUGUAUAUGUCCUAAUUCUCUC